rnacentral:tRNA from 1 species
GGGAUUAGCUCAAAUGGUAGAGCGCUCGCUUUGCAUGUGAGAGGUACCGGGUUUGAUCCCCUGUAUCUCCA